rnacentral:rRNA from 2 species
CAUGCAAGUCGAACGAACUCUGGUAUUGAUUGGUGCUUGCAUCAUGAUUUACAUUUGAGUGAGUGGCGAACUGGUGAGUAACACGUGGGAAACCUGCCCAGAAGCGGGGGAUAACACCUGGAAACAGAUGCUAAUACCGCAUAACAACUUGGACCGCAUGGUCCGAGUUUGAAAGAUGGCUUCGGCUAUCACUUUUGGAUGGUCCCGCGGCGUAUUAGCUAGAUGGUGGGGUAACGGCUCACCAUGGCAAUGAUACGUAGCCGACCUGAGAGGGUAAUCGGCCACAUUGGGACUGAGACACGGCCCAAACUCCUACGGGAGGCAGCAGUAGGGAAUCUUCCACAAUGGACGAAAGUCUGAUGGAGCAACGCCGCGUGAGUGAAGAAGGGUUUCGGCUCGUAAAACUCUGUUGUUAAAGAAGAACAUAUCUGAGAGUAACUGUUCAGGUAUUGACGGUAUUUAACCAGAAAGCCACGGCUAACUACGUGCCAGCAGCCGCGGUAAUACGUAGGUGGCAAGCGUUGUCCGGAUUUAUUGGGCGUAAAGCGAGCGCAGGCGGUUUUUUAAGUCUGAUGUGAAAGCCUUCGGCUCAACCGAAGAAGUGCAUCGGAAACUGGGAAACUUGAGUGCAGAAGAGGACAGUGGAACUCCAUGUGUAGCGGUGAAAUGCGUAGAUAUAUGGAAGAACACCAGUGGCGAAGGCGGCUGUCUGGUCUGUAACUGACGCUGAGGCUCGAAAGUAUGGGUAGCAAACAGGAUUAGAUACCCUGGUAGUCCAUACCGUAAACGAUGAAUGCUAAGUGUUGGAGGGUUUCCGCCCUUCAGUGCUGCAGCUAACGCAUUAAGCAUUCCGCCUGGGGAGUACGGCCGCAAGGCUGAAACUCAAAGGAAUUGACGGGGGCCCGCACAAGCGGUGGAGCAUGUGGUUUAAUUCGAAGCUACGCGAAGAACCUUACCAGGUCUUGACAUACUAUGCAAAUCUAAGAGAUUAGACGUUCCCUUCGGGGACAUGGAUACAGGUGGUGCAUGGUUGUCGUCAGCUCGUGUCGUGAGAUGUUGGGUUAAGUCCCGCAACGAGCGCAACCCUUAUUAUCAGUUGCCAGCAUUAAGUUGGGCACUCUGGUGAGACUGCCGGUGACAAACCGGAGGAAGGUGGGGAUGACGUCAAAUCAUCAUGCCCCUUAUGACCUGGGCUACACACGUGCUACAAUGGAUGGUACAACGAGUUGCGAACUCGCGAGAGUAAGCUAAUCUCUUAAAGCCAUUCUCAGUUCGGAUUGUAGGCUGCAACUCGCCUACAUGAAGUCGGAAUCGCUAGUAAUCGCGGAUCAGCAUGCCGCGGUGAAUACGUUCCCGGGCCUUGUACACACCGCCCGUCACACCAUGAGAGUUUGUAACACCCAAAGUCGGUGGGGUAACCUUUUAGGAACCAGCCGCCUAAG